UCGUUGACGUAACGAUACAACUAGCGUUCCGCCGCUGGCAAACACGCCUUGGCGGGCAGCUUCCCGGAAACGAAAGUUUUUCGGUUCCGGGGGAAGUAUGGUUGCAAAGCUGAAACUUAAAGAAAUUGACGGAAGGGCACCACCAGGAGUGGAGCCUGCGGCUUAAUUUGACUCAACACGGGAAAACUCACCUGGCCCGGACACCGUGAGGAUUGACAGAUUGAGAGCUCUUUCUUGAUUCGGUGGUUGGUGGUGCAUGGCCGUUCUUAGUUGGUGGAGUGAUUUGUCUGGUUUAUUCCGAUAACGAGCGAGACUCUAGCCUACUAAAUAGUUACUGGAUAAUUGAGUCCAGAAGACUUCUUAGAGGGACAAGCGGUGUUCAGCCGCACGAAGUUGAGCAAUAACAGGUCUGUGAUGCCCUUAGAUGUCCAGGGCUGCACGCGCGCUACACUGGAGGAAUCAGCGUGCUGUAACCAUUGCCGAAAGGCAUUGGUAACCCCUUGAAAAUCCUCCGUGAUCGGGAUCGGGAAUUGCAAUUAUUUCCCUUGAACGAGGAAUUCCUAGUAAGUGUGAGUCAUCAGCUCACGUUGAUUACGUCCCUGCCCUUUGUACACACCGCCCGUCGCUGCCCGGGACUGAGCCGUUUCGAGAAAAGCGGGGACUGCUGUUUCGAUACCUUUCGGGGUGGAGAUUCUUUGGUGGAAACCGCCUUUAUCGCAGUGGCUUGAACCGGGCAAAAGUCGUAACAAGGUUUCCGUAUGUGACCUGCGGAUGAUCA
rnacentral:rRNA from 1 species